rnacentral:rRNA from 1 species
AACGAACGCUGGCGGCGUGCCUAACACAUGCAAGUCGAGCGCGAAUGGAGCAAUCCUAGUAGAGCGGCGCACGGGUGCGUAACACGUGGGUAAUCUGCCUCGAAGUCAGGGAUAACCUUCCGAAAGGUUGGCUAAUACCUGGUAAGCUUCCGGGACGUUCGCGUCCUGGGGGAAAAGGUGGCCUCUAUUUAUAUGCUAUCGCUUUGAGAUGAGCCCGCGGCCCAUCAGUUAGUUGGCGGGGUAACGGCCCACCAAGACUACGACGGGUAGCUGGUCUGAGAGGACGGUCAGCCACACUGGAACGGAGACACGGUCCAGACUCCUACGGGAGGCAGCAGUGGGGAAUUUUGCACAAUGGGCGAAAGCCUGAUGCAGCAACGCCGCGUGUGUGAUGAAGGUCUUCGGAUCGUAAAGCACUUUCGACCGGGACGAACAAGCUCGACCUAACACGUCGGGCCCUGACGGUACCGGGAGAAGAAGCACCGGCUAACUCUGUGCCAGCAGCCGCGGUAAAAC